rnacentral:rRNA from 1 species
UCGUACGCGAAAGGGGCUUCGGCCCUGAGUAGAGUGGCAAACGGGUGAGUAACACGUGGGUGACCUGCCUUCGAGUGGGGGAUAACGUCCCGAAAGGGACGCUAAUACCGCAUGACAUCCUGCUCUUGGAUGAGCGGAAAUCAAAGCCGGGGAUCGCAAGACCUGGCGCUUGAAGAGGGGCCCGCGCCUGAUUAGCUAGUUGGUAGGGUAAUGGCCUACCAAGGCAACGAUCAGUAUCCGGCCUGAGAGGGCGGACGGACACACUGGGACUGAGACACGGCCCAGACUCCUACGGGAGGCAGCAGUGGGGAAUUGUUCGCAAUGGGCGCAAGCCUGACGACGCAACGCCGCGUGGAGGAUGAAGAUCUUCGGGUCGUAAACUCCUGUCGAGCGGGAAGAACACCUGUUGGCCUAAUACGCCGACAGGCUGACGGUACCGCUAAAGGAAGCCCCGGCUAACUCCGUGCCAGCAGCCGCGGUAAUACGGGGGGGGCAAGCGUUG